UGACCUGAACUCGCGACAGGUGCCCGUGCAGUCGACGCUGACCGGGUGAAACGGGAAGCCGGUGUCAAUCCGGCGCUGCCCCCGCAACUGUGACCGAGUCGGACGGCCUGAGCGCCGCCCGACGUUCGCCCAAGCCACUCGGCCCGAGCCGGGGAAGGCGCGAACUCGAUCCCUCAUCGAAUCUCGAUGACCCCGGAGUCGAUCGGAAGCCAGGAGACCGGCCUGCCGCACCAAGCCAAC
rnacentral:ncRNA from 1 species